rnacentral:rRNA from 1 species
GAAUUCCCAGGGUGUAGGCGGGUGAAAAUGCGUAGAGAUCUGGAGGAAUACCCGGUGGCGAAAGGCGGCCCCCCCUGGGACAAAAGAACUGACGCUCAGGUGAGAAAAGCGUGGGGGAGCAAACAGGAUUAGAUACCCUGGUAGUCCACGCCGUAAACGAUGUCGACUUGGAGGUUGUGCCCUUGAGGCGUGGCUUCCGGAGCUAACGCGUUAAGUCGACCGCCUGGGGAGUACGGCCGCAAGGUUAAAACUCAAAUGAAUUGACGGGGGCCCGCACAAGCGGUGGAGCAUGUGGUUUAAUUCGAUGCAACGCGAAGAACCUUACCUGGCCUUGACAUCCACGGAAUUCGGCAGAGAUGCCUUAGUGCCUUCGGGAACCGUGAGACAGGUGCUGCAUGGCUGUCGUCAGCUCGUGUUGUGAAAUGUUGGGUUAAGUCCCGCAACGAGCGCAACCCUUAUCCUUUGUUGCCAGCGAGUAAUGUCGGGAACUCAAAGGAGACUGCCGGUGACAAACCGGAGGAAGGUGGGGAUGACGUCAAGUCAUCAUGGCCCUUACGGCCAGGGCUACACACGUGCUACAAUGGCGCAUACAAAGAGAAGCGAACUCGCGAGAGCAAGCGGACCUCACAAAGUGCGUCGUAGUCCGGAUCGGAGUCUGCAACUCGACUCCGUGAAGUCGGAAUCGCUAGUAAUCGUAGAUCAGAAUGCUACGGUGAAUACGUUCCCGGGCCUUGUACACACCGCCCGUCACACCAUGGGAGUGGGUUGCAAAAGAAGUAGGUAGCUUAACCUUCGGGAGGGCGCUUACCACUUUGUGAUUCAUGNCUGGGGUGAAGUCGUAACAAUGUA